UAUUAUUAAUAGUCUAUUUUAUUAUUUAAAAUAAAUUAUUUAAAUUUUUUCAAAUGCACAAAGCCAUGAAUCCAUCCAGAUUCAUUGACUUGAAUGGUAAGAAUAAAGAGAAAAUCAGAUCAAAUAAAAUCUUUCUAAAAAUAAAUAAUUUCAUUCAAUUUUUGACCUAAUUCUCCAUCUAUAAAUAGCAUACAAAUUCACACUUUCUAAUCAUCCACAGUCUUACAAAAUCACUAUUCC
rnacentral:lncRNA from 1 species